GAGUUAGACCUGCCCAGUGGAUUAAUCUAAACGGCCGCAGAAUUUUAACUGUGCUAAGGUAGCAUAAUCAUUUGUUCUUUAAUUAGAGGACUAGUAUGAACGGUUUAACGAAAUUGUACUAUUUUUUUUGUACACAAUAAAAUUUUAUCUUAAAGUUAAAAAGCUUUAAUAAAGUAAAAAGACAAAAAGACCCUGUAGAGUUUAAUUUCUUACAUUAAAAAUAAUUACUUAGAAAUUUUGUUGGGGCAACAAAGAAAAAAUAAAUUUUUCUUAAUCUAAAAUAACAUAUAAAAUCAUUAAUUUAAUAAAUCAAAAUAAAUUACCUCAGGGAUAACAGCGUAAUUUUCUUAAAGAGCCCAAAUCGAAAAGAAAAAUUACGACCUCGAUGUUG
rnacentral:rRNA from 1 species